rnacentral:tRNA from 1 species
GCGGAUGUAGCUCAGCUGGCUAGAGCACCACCUUGCCAAGGUGGGGGUCGCGGGUUCGAAACCCGUUUUCCGCU